rfam:Xiphophorus maculatus strain JP 163 A Contig305.7, whole genome shotgun sequence.
UGAUGCCCCUCACCCACAGCUGAAGAUCCCGGGUGGGCGAGGGACGGUCAGGGAUC